AACGAACGCUGGCGGCGUGUCUUAAGCAUGCAAGUCGAGCGGCAAGGGGGAGCAAUCCCCCCUAGAGCGGCGGACUGGUGAGUAACGCGUGGGUGAUCUGCCCUUGGGAUGGGGAUAGCCAUUAGAAAUAGUGGGUAAUACCGAAUGUGUUCCCGUGACUGCGGUUAUGGGAAGAAAGGCGCUACGGCGCCACCCAAGGAUGAGCCCGCGUCCCAUUAGCUAGUUGGUGAGGUAACGGCCCACCAAGGCGAUGAUGGGUAGCCGGCCUGAGAGGGUGUACGGCCACACUGGGACUGAGAUACGGCCCAGACUCCUACGGGAGGCAGCAGCUAAGAAUAUUCCGCAAUGGACGAAAGUCUGACGGAGCGACGCCGCGUGGAUGAAGAAGGCUGAAAGGUUGUAAAAUCCUUUUGCUGGGGAAGAAUAAGUCUGGGAGGGAAUGCCCGGAUGAUGACAUGAGCCGGCGAAUAAGCCCCGGCUAACUACGUGCCAGCCGCCGCAGUAAAAC
rnacentral:rRNA from 1 species